GUCAGCAUGGCUGAGUGGUAAUAGACUGUUGUAUCUACCACAACCCCUUUCCUGGAGCCGUUCCAAGCACCUUAUAUGCAACGUGGUCAAAGAUGUUACAGAUGUACAAAGAUCAGAUCACUCUUUUAAAAAGCAAGCAAAUACUCUUGGCCAUCAGCAAGGACAAAAAUAGGCACAUCCUAAAUUCCUCAGUGAGACAAAAUGCGGAUGAAAUUUGAAUGCCAGGACUUCAGAAUUCAGCACUCUACCCUAUAUUCAUAAUCUCUUUUACUUUCAAGAAUCAGGUCUUGUCCCAAAACCAUGAAAUUGUCUUAAAAAAUGACAGGAUUAGUAUUUUAAGUUGCAAGGUAUGUGUGUUUCCCACUUGGUGUUUGAGCCUCUAGGGUGAAAAUUUGCAGACUCACCCUAGUAGUCACAGUUGUUACAAAUUAAGGUUUUAGUAUAACCAGAUGACUUUGAGAAUGUCACCAAAAAUGUUAGGUACAGUGAGAUUGUGUCAGUUAUGAGAUUCAAUGGUACUAUAGUAUCCUUGUACUUCCUAUUUAGCAGAUAGUCUCUAAAAAAUGGCUAGCUCUUUCACUUGGUAUUUGCAAUGGGAAUAUCAUAGUGGUUUCUACUGACAUACUUUUUCAUUUCCCAGAAAUCACUUUGUAUGAUGGCAACAAGCAUAAGAUGAUUUUAGUUCAAGUGCAAUAUUCUGCAUAGAAUUUUGUACUUGUGCUUUAAAGAAGCAGUGUGCUCAAAUCAUAAUAAUAAUUAGUGGGGUUUACCUCUUUUUAAUUACUGGCUCAAAGCCCAACUUUUUUCCUCUCUGAAGUAGAUUUACUUUGCAGAUGUUAGAUGGCCAUUGGGGGUUUGGUUCCACAAGGAUUUACACUUACCAAUUUUUAAGCAGAUUGUGCUGGAGGUCACAAAAAUUCUUCCAUUGAGUUGUCAUUUCAUUUCAAUAAAUGUUUUUUUAAAAGCAGAGGCAGAUGAUUGCAAUCUUAGUUUGAAGGUUUUUUUAAACUACAGUACACAAACAACCACUUUAGGGCUAAUAAUUUGCUCUGUUCU